UACAAAUACAACAACAACAACAACAGUGCUUUCCUGUGCUUGCUAUCUAUCUAUCUAUCUAUCUAUCUAUCUAUCUAUAUGAGCAUAAGUAAGGGAAGCCCAUUUCACCCUCUCACCACAGAUGCAGCAGAGCUUCUUCUCCCUCAGGCGUGUUCAACCCUGCUACUUGUAACAGCUAUUGUUGUAAUAUAGUGUAUCACCACAUGGUGGCGCCUCUCGUCUCUUGACUGGUAGGUCACCCCCUGUUUAUUCUUCUUCGUUGUAUACUAUGUCUGUAAUGGAUUCUUCCGUGUGUACGAGGCAAGUGUUAUCUCCAGUAACGUGUGUAGGGUGGAACAGUGUCUUACAGAGGUCGACUCACAUGAUCAGCAGAGGGCCAACAACCAUGACCACCUUCAAAGAGACAGCCCUCACUAAGAACAGUGACUCAGUGUGGAAGUAUCGCUCAGGCCUCUUACUUAUUGGAUGAUUCCCACCUGCCUGCUUACCUCACCUGUCCUCCAUCACAGUGAUCCCUUCACAGUGCGCCGGCCUGUCCCACUGUCAUCCCGCUGAAGGAAACUCACCUGUCUCAAAACUUGUGGAAGCUGGAAUCAGACCAGACCCUGAACUAAAUCCUUUGAACAUUAUGUCAAUUUAAUCUCUGAUCUGAUUGCAAAUACUAAGCAGUUGUAAUGAGUCGCUUAUUAAAAAUGAGGUACUUUUCCUAGCGGCCUCCCGCCAUUCGGUCUUUUGACAUGAACCAUA
ensembl:lncRNA